CAGGGGAUAGUUUAUAAAAAAUAUUAAUUUUGGAGAUUAAUGAUAAGAGUUUUUCUUUCCCUUGA
rnacentral:tRNA from 1 species